rnacentral:lncRNA from 1 species
CUACCAUCCUUCCUGGUGCCAGGGCCCACACAAGUCAUGAAGCAAACACAGCCCCCGCCAGGAUACCAGAUGGUUAAUCAUCUGGAGGAUGUGGGUGUCCUGGGAGUAUCACUCCUAAUUUAGACAGUGGACAGCAACAUGCACUUCCUGUACAUUUAACUCAAACCCUAUGGAGGUGGCACCACGAUGGGGACACCUGGAUGGAUGUAGUGAAGGAACACAAUACAGUUAGAAUCCCUCACUUGCUGUGUGUUUCUGUUUCCCCAGGUAGGAGGAACUCCCCGAGGUCAGGAAGCAGUGUCUAUUCAUUUGUCGUAUGGAAUCACCACACCCUUCAGUGAUGGCCAUGCUUUCCUUGUCGCCUUCUUUGAGAUUGAGUGGGCCCCACAGAACGGCGUUCCCAGAAGCCUUGGUGACUGCUCAGAUCCCAGCUGCUUUACCUGCCAGCAUCCUGAAACUCAGUAAGAUCAGAGUCCAGACCUCGUAAGAUGUUGAGACUUCACCUACCGCUGCCCCACCCAGGCUGAUGAAGCAUCAAUCCAAGAUGAAGGGGCCCAUCCCUGAGUCUGUCUCUCUUCUCUGGCUUUGUCACUCUGGACUUUGCUUCCGGCUUCAAGUUUCUAGGUGUAAUAUGUGAAGAUUAAUGGCAAUGAAGCAAACGUGCAUAAGAAAAUCCACGCAGCAAAGGCAAUUCCGUUAUUCUCAAGUCCAUAGAUGCCCAGUGUGACAUUGUGAACUGGAGAAAAAGGAGCACUUCCUGUUCAGGAAAUCUUGUAAAAUCAUAAAUGUCAGGACUCAGUCAACAAUACCCCAAAAUGAAGGCCUCAGAAGCAUCCUCAGAGGAAAAAUUUAUUUCUCUGAUCUUCUCUUGCCCUCCUGUCUCUUAGCGCCAUUCUCCCCUGAGGCUAGACACAGACACUAGAAUCCCUCUGCCCCAGGGCAGGGCAUGGAAGCCAGAAGCCUUUUUCCCCAAAGCCAGCCAUAAAACUUAAAGAUGUCACUCUAACUUUCCCUCUGCCUUUCUGUGUGAAAACUGGCCAUAAAGAAACUAUCUGCCCUACCUUGUUUGACUGAAGGUCAUAAGACCCUCAUUCCAGAGAGGGUCCUGCCUCAUACUCAGAAGGAAGGAAUGCACGUUCAGCAAGGCCAAGAAGAAUCUAAACAGACAGGCCUUGCUGAGUUUCCCCACUCAGCCGAUUGACAUUGGAUCAUGCCCUUUUCGUCUAAUCCUAUAUCUACACGGCUGUCCAUACUUUGUUGAACAUAAGCAUAAAAAUGGUCAGUUUCCUCUGUAUCUUUGGGUCAUUCUGAAGGUUCUCAUGUACACAUUAAUAAAAUUUAUACCCAUUUUCUCCAAUUAACCUGCCUUUUGUGAGUUGAUUUUUCAGCAAACCUUCAGAAAAUGAAGAGGCUUUCCCUUUGCCCCUCCAGUAACAAAAUGGUAUCUCAUUCUCUAAAUACAAUUAUUUCUAUAAAAUGCCUUUUCUAGGCUGGGUGUGGUGGCUCACGCCUGUAAUUCCAGCACUUUGGGAGGCCGAGGCGGGGGGAGGUGGUGGGUGGAUCACUUGAGGCCAGCAGUUCAAGUCCAGUCUGGACAACAUGGUGAAACCUCGUCUCUACUAAAAAUACAAAAAUUAGCCGGGCGUGGUGGUGUGCACCUGUAGACCCAGCUACUCGAGAGGCUGAGGCAGGAGAAUCACUUGAACCUGGGAGGCAGAGGUUGCAGUGAGCCGAGAUCGCACCACUGCACUCCAGCCUGGGCAACAGAGCAAGACUCGGUCUCAAAAAAUAAAAUAAAAUAAAAUAAAAUAAAAUAAAAUAAAAUAAAAUAAAAUAAAAUAAAAUAAAA